GCUCAGGAUGAACGCUGGCGGCGUGCUUAACACAUGCAAGUCGAGCGAAGCGGUUUAAAUGAGACUUCGGUGGAUUUUAAACUGACUGAGCGGCGGACGGGUGAGUAACGCGUGGAUAACCUGCCUCACACAGGGGGAUAACAGUUAGAAAUGACUGCUAAUACCGCAUAAGCGCACAGUACCGCAUGGUACAGUGUGAAAAACUCCGGUGGUGUGAGAUGGAUCCGCGUCUGAUUAGGUAGUUGGUGGGGUAACGGCCCACCAAGCCGACGAUCAGUAGCCGACCUAAGAGGGUGACCGGCCACAUUGGGACUGAGACACGGCCCAAACUCCUACGGGAGGCAGCAGUA
rnacentral:rRNA from 1 species